GUCCAGGGAUGGGAAUCGAAAUCACUUGUGUGUUCCGCUUACCGGGCAGAUGCCAUGUCCUCUAGGCUACCCUAGA
rnacentral:tRNA from 1 species